UACGGAGGAUGCGAUCGUUAUCCGGAUUUAUUGGGUUUAAAGGGUGCGUAGGCGGACGCUUAAGUCAGCGGUAAAAUUGCGGGGCUCAACCUCGUCGAGCCGUUGAAACUGGGUGCCUUGAGUGGGCGAGAAGUACGCGGAAUGCGUGGUGUAGCGGUGAAAUGCAUAGAUAUUACGCAGAACCCCGAUUGCGAAGGCAGCAUGCCGGCUUCCGACUGACGCUGAAGCACGAAAGCGUGGGGAUCGAACAGG
rnacentral:rRNA from 1 species